rnacentral:ncRNA from 1 species
AUUGUUGGUUUUCUAGCUUAAUAGGGAAUCCGGUGAGAAUCCGGAGCAACAGCCAUUACUGUGUAAAAGGAAGAGCGUCACAAUCCAUUGGAACGAUCUGAGAAGGGUGACAAUCGUAUCUGGAACAAAACGCCAGACAAGCUUUGAAGUCAGGAGACCUGUCAUAUAUUA